CCCUUAGAUGUUCAGGGCCGCACGCGCGCUACACUGAUGCAUUCAACGAGUUUCUUCCUGGUCCGAGAGGAAUGGGUAACCUUUUGAAAGUGCAUCGUGAUAGGGAUAGACUAUUGCAAUUAUUGGUCUUCAACGAGGAAUUCCUAGUAGACGUAGUUCAUCAGACUGCAUCGAUUACGUCCCUGCCCUUUGUACACACCGCCCGUCGCUCCUACCGAUUGAAUGCUCAGGUGAGCCAUUCGGACUUUCAUCAUGCUGGUUUCCAGUUUUGAUGAAGGAAAGUCUUGCGAACCUUAUCAUUUAGAGGAAGGAGAAGUCGUAACA
rnacentral:rRNA from 1 species